AGAGGUAGCCAGGCAUCAUGGCGGCCCUUGUCAGUGGAGAGAACGGCCGCUAUUUUGCCUGUUAUUCUUCCAUCGUAACUAAAUGAGAUAGUAGGUAAUUGACGAACACAACACACCACGUGGAGAGAAGCAAGGUGUGGAGUACCCAAGCCUCUCACAGUCCAUGCUAGUAGACUCACCCUGCAUGUGGAGAUCUCCCAAAAUGCACGGAGGUUAUUCCAGAGCUGCAGGACAGAGUACUUGAGGCCAUUGGUGAACAGAAAGCUGAGGUUGAACAAAGCCAAGAAUUGAUAGCUGCCCAAGGUGUAAGCAAGAUUCACAAUGAUGAGGUCAUUGUGACGUGUGCAAUGUGUCCACUGGUCUUGGCCUUCCUGACCAAGGCAGCCACACAAAGAAAAUUCCACGUUAUUGUUGCCGAAUGUGCCCCUAAAUAUGAUGGUCACCCAGUGGCAAAAGCUUUAUGUACUGCUGGAAUUGAGACAACAUUAAUUCAAGACUCUGCAGUGUUCCCCAUCAUGUCACGUGUCAACAAGGUCAUCAAAGGUCAUCGUUGGCACCGAGACGGUGGUGACCAACGGAGGCAUUGAGACCUUUGUUGGUGCAGCCUCUCUUGCCUCACCACCAAAGUUUUAUUCUGUUCCACUGUAUGUGUGCACUCCCACAUACAAAUUUAGCUUGAUGGGCUGUGAAGAAAUGUGAUGCCGGAUAAGAGGGAUUUUACUGUACCCUGUUUAUCUUGCACAUCUACUCACUUAGCUUUAAAUAAUGGCUGCUGACCAUUUAAAUCUCUUUUAUUUCAGUCGAGGUACUGCACCAUCCUACGUGUACCGGCAGCUUAGCGAACUGUACCGUCCCACUUCUUGUGAUCUCUAAGGUAACAGCUUUAAUCCUUGCAAAUAAGGAAUAAGAGAAAAGAGACACACCUGCCAUUUGUACUGUUAUGCUGUAGUGUUGUCAUUUUUUUUCCUCUUUUAUCCUAGAACCAUUUUUGGUCAUUCAUGUUUCUAAAAAUUAUUAUACAAAAAUGUUGAGCUUAAUAUGUUUGGUGUAGCUUUUUGUAACAUGUGUUAUUGUUAAUGUGUGUGGUUCCCCUCAGGAAGAAUGUUGCAGUAUUAGCAGUAAUGUUACAGCCAAUGGAAGUGUCUGUAUUGUGCUUUGGUGGGAGGUUAAUUUGAUGUAUUUUUAGAGUUGUGCAGGAUAUUAUAGCAAGCCCUCAAAAUAAAGAAAAUAACUAUAGAAAACACUCCUUGUAUUGAAAACACCACUGCAGAGAAAUCUCUAAUGAAACAGGAAACCCUACAUUCAGUACUGUGUGGUUGUUGCAGUAACACUGAGCUAAAUGCCUUUUGGAUGGUUGUACACUAAAAAUAAUGUAAAAAUGCCUAUAAACAACUGUCCCUGCAUUAAAAACCUUUCAUCAUAAAAUUACACACAAGAUACUCAACCAGUGCAUGAAUGUUCAAGCGGUACCAUUUGCUCCCUUCUGCACUGCACAGCUUGCAGCAACACUUCUGGCGCUGCAUAGUGAACAGUGAAGCACGGUGUCUUCGUGCUGCCAUCCUUUUCCUUGUCAGGCAUCAAAUGUGCAAACCCAAAAUCCACAAUCUUAAUAACUGAAUCUUCAGAAGAAUCCUUGAACAAGAGAUUCCGUGAAAAGAUGUUUAGAUUAGAAUGGCCUCGGAGAAGGAUAAUAUCUGAAUGGAAUAAAUUCAUACUUUUUAUUAUAAAGGCCAUACAAAUGAUGGAGAUCAAUAAUAUUCCAUGCAAUAAAUUCUUUAAAAUAAGCAGAUGGAAAAUCAAUGCAAAAAAACUUCCUUUUUUUAUUUUUCCUUUCUUUUCUUUUCUUUUCUGUCUAUCCUCAACACCAACCCUUUUCACCCCUGUCUGGCUUUAGGUCUCCGUGAACACUGAUGCUUUUCCUGUGCACGUAGUGAACUGCUGACACCAGGUUCCUCACGACGACCGAAGCCCGAGGCGAGCCUCUGUGAACCUCUCGUGUUUCGUGAUCCUCUGAGGCAGCCAGCUCUCCACCUCCAAGGAGCUGCAUCACAAUGUAGGUGUGUGCCUGUGAAACCAACAUGAAUUAGAUACAGGCAUACAAUGAUUAAAUGCAAGGAAAAGAAAAUAAUAUGAUCUUAAACUAAUUGUUACUUAAACUGUUACUGAUAAAUCCUGUUGUUUUAUAUUGUAAUUCUACACAGUAAAAAUAUAGAUUUGAAAA